CCUACGGGGGGCAGCAGUGGGGAAUAUUGCACAAUGGGGGAAACCCUGAUGCAGCGACGCCGCGUGAGUGAAGCAGUAUUUCGGUAUGUUAAGCUCUGUCAGCAGGGAAGAAAAUGACGGUACCUGACCAUGAAGCCCAGGCUAACUACGUGCCAGCAGCCGCGGUAAUACGUAGGGGGCAAGCGUUAUCCGGAUUUACUGGGUGUAAAGGGAGCGUAGACGGCAGGGCAAGUCUGGAGUGAAAGGCGGGGGCUCAACCCCCGGACUGCUCUGGAAACUGCCAGGCUGGAGUGCAGGAGAGGAAAGUGGAAUUCCUAGUGUAGCGGUGAAAUGCGUAGAUAUUAGGAGGAACACCAGUGGCGAAGGCGGCUUACUGGACUGUAACUGACGUUGAGGCUCGAAAGCGUGGGGAGCAAACAGGAUUAGAUACCCCAGUAGUC
rnacentral:rRNA from 1 species